rnacentral:rRNA from 1 species
GAUGAACGCUGGCGGCGUGCUUAACACAUGCAAGUCGAACGAUGAAGCCCAGCUUGCUGGGUGGAUUCGUGGCGAACGGGUGAGUAACACGUGAGUAACCUGCCCUUAACUCUGGGAUAAGCCUUGGAAACUGGGUCUAAUAUCGGAUAUGAGCGCUCCCCGCAUGGUGGGUGUUGGAAAGAUUUAUCGGUUUUGGAUGGACUCGCGGCCUAUCAGCUUGUUGGUGAGGUAAUGGCUCACCAAGGCGACGACGGGUAGCCGGCCUGAGAGGGUGACCGGCCACACUGGGACUGAGACACGGCCCAGACUCCUACGGGAGGCAGCAGUGGGGAAUAUUGCACAAUGGGCGGAAGCCUGAUGCAGCGACGCCGCGUGAGGGAUGACGGCCUUCGGGUUGUAAACCGCUUUCAGUAGGGAAGAAGCGAAAGUGACGGUACCGGCAGAAGAAGCACCGGCUAACUACGUG